GAUGAACGCUGGCGGCGUGCCUAAUACAUGCAAGUCGAGCGGACAGACGAGGCGCUUGCUGCUCUGACGUUAGCGGCGGACGGGUGAGUAACACGUGUAUCACCUACCUAUAUGACUGAGAUAACUUGGGGACACCGGAGCUAAUACCGGAUAAUAUAUUGAACCGCGUGGUGCAAUAGUGAAAGACGGUGUUUCUGUAACGUAUAGAUGGAUAUGCGCCGCAUUAGCUAGUUGGUGAGGUAACGGCUUACCACGGCGACGAUGCGUAGACGACCUGAGGGGGUGAUCGGCCACCUGGGAACUGAGACACGCACCAGGGGACUACGGGAGGCAGCAGUAGGGAAUCUGACGCAAUGGGCGGAAGCCUGACGGAGCGACGGCGCGUGAGAGAUGAAGGUCUCCGGAGCGUAAAACUCUGUUACUAGUGAAGAACAAAUGUGUAAGGAACUGUGGACGUCUUGACGGUACCUAAUCAGAAAGCCACGGCUAACUACGUG
rnacentral:rRNA from 1 species